rnacentral:rRNA from 1 species
UACGGAGGGUGCAAGCGUUAUCCGGAUUCACUGGGUUUAAAGGGUGCGUAGGUGGGCAGGUAAGUCAGUGGUGAAAUCUCCGGGCUUAACCCGGAAACUGCCAUUGAUACUAUCAGUCUUGAAUACCGUGGAGGUAAGCGGAAUAUGUCAUGUAGCGGUGAAAUGCUUAGAUAUGACAUAGAACACCAAUUGCGAAGGCAGCUUACUAGCCGAAUAUUGACACUGAGGCACGAAAGCGUGGGGAGCGAACGGG